UUUGAUCAUGGCUCAGAACGAACGCUGGCGGCGCGCCUAAUACAUGCAAGUCGAGCGAGAAGGUGUAGCAAUACACUUGUAAAGCGGCGAACGGGUGAGGAAUACAUGGGUGACCUACCAUCGAGUGGGGAAUAACCAGCCGAAAGGCUGGCUAAUACCGCGUACGCUUCCGGAUUUUCGAGUUCGGAAGGAAAGCGAUACCGUGGGUAUCGCGCUCUUUGAUGGGCUCAUGUCCUAUCAGCUUGUUGGUAGGGUAACGGCCUACCAAGGCUUUGACGGGUAGCUGGUCUGAGAGGACGAUCAGCCACACUGGCACUGCGACACGGGCCAGACUCCUACGGGAGGCAGCAGUAAGGAAUAUUGCGCAAUGGGCGAAAGCCUGACGCAGCGACGCCGCGUGGGGGAUGAAGGUCUUCGGAUUGUAAACCCCUUUCGGGAGGGAAGAUGGGACGGGCAACCGUUCGGACGGUACCUCCAGAAGCAGCCACAGCCAACUUCGUGCCAGCAGCCGCGGUAAUACGAAGGUGGCAAGCGUUGUUCGGAUUCACUGGGCGUACAGGGUGUGUAGGCGGUUUGGUAAGCCUUUUGUGAAAGCUUCGGGCCUAACCCGGAAAGCGCAGAGGGGACUGCCAGGCUAGAGGACGGGAGAGGAGCGCGGAAUUCCCGGUGUAGCGGUGAAAUGCGUAGAGAUCGGGAGGAAGGCCGGUGGCGAAGGCGGCGCUCUGGAACGUAUCUGACGCUGAGACACGAAAGCGUGGGGAGCAAACAGGAUUAGAUACCCUGGUAGUCCACGCCCUAAACUAUGGACACUAAGUGUCGGCGGGUUACCGCCGGUGCCGCAGCUAACGCAUUAAGUGUCCCGCCUGGGAAGUACGGCCGCAAGGUUGAAACUCAAAGGAAUUGACGGGGGCCCGCACAAGCGGUGGAGCAUGUGGUUUAAUUCGACGCAACGCGAAGAACCUUACCCAGGUUGGACAUGCACAUAGUAAGACCCUGAAAAGGGGGAUGAACCUGAAAGGGCAACGUGCUCAGGUGCUGCAUGGCUGUCGUCAGCUCCUGCCGUGAGGUGUUGGGUUAAGUCCCGCAACGAACCGCAACCCCUGUCUUCAGUUGCUACCAGGUCAAGCUGAACCCUCUUGGAAGAACUGCCCCGGAAAACGGGGAGGAAAAGUGGGGG
rnacentral:rRNA from 1 species